CUUCAACUCUCCAAACCCUUCUAACUAUCCUCACUUCAGCUUCAAUUCCAUCUCUGAGAGCCUGUGGGAAAGCGAAGUCUCCACCGAGAAUGCCAUAUCUCUUCUUACAGUCCUUAAUGACAAGUGUGUUGUGCCAUUUCAGGAUUGCCUGGCUAAGUUGAUUUCAAAUGGUGAUCAGGAGGAGCCCGUCACCUGCUUAAUCACAGACGCUAUCUGGCACUUCGCACAAACUGUUGCUGAUACCCUAAGGCUUCCGAGGAUCGUGCUAAGAACUAGUAGUAUCUCUUCUUUUCUCGCUUUUUCUGCCUUCCAAAUUCUACUGGAAAAGGGUUACCUUGCCGAACAAGGUUUGCAUGUCUCUCCCUACAUUAUUUAGAUUCAAACAAGCAUUAACAAGUGCACACUGAUUUUCUUUCUUUUAUUAUUUUAUUUCAUUUAUGGUUUUCAGUUUCUUUUUCCUCAGAUUCCCAGUUAGAAAAACCAGUGACAGAGUUACCACCGCUGAGAGUGAAAGACAUUCCGAUUAUUGUAACACAUGAUACAAGGAAUUUUCAUCAACUGAUAUCAGCGGUGGUUAGUAAGACAAAGGCUUGUUCAGGAUUGAUAUGGAACUCUUUUGAGGACCUUGAACAAACCGAACUCACAAGAUUACACAAGGACUUUCCCAUCCCAAUGUUCCCAAUAGGCCCAUUUCACAAGUACUGUCUAGCUUCUUCAAGUAGCUUACUAUCUCAAGACCAAAGUUGCAUUUCCUGGUUAGACAAACAAGCAGC
rnacentral:lncRNA from 1 species